UCCGGAAGUAUGCAACAACAGAAGUUUCAUGCCCGGUGGAACUAAGAACGACAGAAAGAAAAAGUAGAAAGACAGUGCUGCAUCCCUAAACUGACUAGGAGAAUUGGUGAAAGACGCAGUUGGGUGGCAAGGACUGUGGAAACCAUGGAGAUACCGUGUGCGGAAAACGGUGCACACCAAUAUACGUAUUUGGUAUUUGUGGCACGGGUGGCGGUGGCGGUGAUGUUGUGAACCCCGGUACAGGGCUCGGCGAGGAGAGAACACGAGUCGUUGACACGCAUCGUUGACAUCGUGGCCCUUGUAGGCUGGGGUAACGUAACAGGUGCCGCAGGGGCUGCACGACUAAGUGUGGCGAGAAGCAACGUGCAAGUGCCACCACUGGUAAGAAAAAUUAAUCCCUAGCUAAAACUCGCGCCUUUUAACUUAUUCGAUGCGUUCCCCUCAACAGCCAGUGUACGAACAAGCUGACCAACCCGAGAUACAACAGACAGAAAAUGGCCAGUGUCCCAGUGACAAUCAAUCCUACGGGGCUGCACUACACUGAAGCAUGCAACACCUAGCACAUCUGCAGCUCCACCCCAGCCAGAAACACAGGCUACCGUGGAAGAGGUGCGGGACAUACCAAGCACACGACGUGGUGGACGAGGCCCAUGGCGAAGAAGGAGAAGGCGGGUGCCCGAGCACCAAUAGCAAACCGCAUUCUAGAUAUGCAGAAGUGGUUUGUGGCAGAAAUAACAUAUCUUCGGGAGGUGCUCGUGGUGCUUAGAAGCUAUGCAACUGUAGCUACCGAAGAAGCUGCUCAAGACAAGAAGCUGCUUGGACAAGAGCCCACUAUAGCCGUUGCGCAGUCUUAUGUUAAAGGGGCCGUAAACAGGUAUACAAGCUCCGCCCUGUGCUCUAACUUUACGUCAUUUUGACGUGGCGCUUUCCUCACCAAUUACGAUCAAGGGUUCCA